AAAACAUGCUCCUCUUUGACCGCAUCCACAGGACGGCGAGACCCAAGUUCCUGCCCCAAGAUGCCCCCAGAGACAUUCUGGUGCGUAUGCACUACCAUCACAUUAAAGACGCCAUUCUAAAAAACAGUAGAACCCGCAAAGAGCUUCCUGAAAAAUACCGGGACAUUAUGUUUUUCGCAGACGUCUCAGCGUUCACCCUCUAAAAACGUAGGGAGUUCCGAGACAUUACAGCGGCACUCAGAAAGAACUGAAUCGCAUAUCGCUGGGGAUACCCAGUUAAACUACUGGUGCAAAGGGCAGGCAAGACAGCGGUAAUAUCAAGCCCAGAAGAGGGAGCUGAAAUACUGCGAGAAUGGGGCUUCGGAAGAGAAUCCCAGAAGAACCUAUCUACAGAGCCAAGAAGAUUAACUCCAGAGUGGAAAAGAGCGAAACACACAUAGACUGUAACGCGUGACGCCCGGGUGGGCCUAAAGUCACGGACGAUGUGGUGCCGCAAGUAUAAAACUCAAGUGAAAUGUUUAUGUUAUAUGUCAGAGCCAACAAUUGAGGGAUUGUAUAGGACCAGGGGUACUCCAUGUGCGAAAUGUAAC